AUUGAACGCUGGCGGCGUGCCUAAUACAUGCAAGUCGAACGGAGUGGCGAACGGGUGAGUAAUGUAUCGGAACGUGCCCAGUAGCGGGGGAUAACUACGCGAAAGCGUAGCUAAUACCGCAUACUUUUGGAGCGGCCGAUCUCGGAUUAGCUAGUGGGGGGGGUAACGGCUCACCAAGGCGACGAUCCGUGGCUGGGUGGAGAGGACGACCAGCCACACUGGGACUGAGACACGGCCCAGACUCCUACGGGAGGCAGCAGUGGGGAAUGUUCGACAAUGGGGGAAACCCUGAUCCAGCCAUCCCGCGUGUGCGAUGAAGGCCUUCGGGUUGUAAAGCACUUUUGGCAGGAAAGCGGUACCUGCAGAAUAAGCACCGGCUAACUACGUGCCAGCCGCCGCGGUAAUAC
rnacentral:rRNA from 1 species